GCCAUGCGAGUCAUUGUAGUAAUACAAGGCAGACGGCUCAGUAACGCGUAGUCAAUCUACCCUAUAGACGGGGAUAACCUCGGGAAACUGAGAAUAAUACCCGAUAGAACAUUAUGCCUGGAAUGGUUUAUGUUUUAAAUGAUUUAUCGCUGUAGGAUGGGACUGCGGCCUAUCAGUUUGUUGGUGAGGUAAUGGCCCACCAAGACUAUUACAGGUACGGGCUCUGAGAGGAGUGGCCCGGAGAUGGGUACUGAGACACGGACCCAGGCCCUAUGGGGCGCAGCAGGCGAGAAAACUUUGCAAUGUGCGAAAGCACGACAAGGUUAAUCCGAGUGGUUUCUGCUAAAGAAACCUUUUGCUAGUCCUAGAAACACUAGUGAAUAAGGGGUGGGCAAGUUCUGGUGUCAGCCGCCGCGGUAAAACCAGCACCUCAAGUGGUCAGGAUGGUUUAUUGGGGCCUAAAGCAUCCGUAGCUCGUUUUGUAAGUUUUCGGUUAAAUCCAUACGCUCAACGUAUGGGCUGCCGGGAAUACUGCAUAACUAGGAAGUGGGAGAGGUAGACGGUACUCGGUAGGAAGGGGUAAAAUCCUUUGAUCUAUUGAUGACCACCUGUGGCGAAAGGCGGUCUACCAGAACACGUUCGACGGUGAGGGAUGAAAGCUGGGGGAGCAAACCGGAUUAGAUACCCGGGUAGUCCCAGCUGUAAACUAUGCAAACUCAGUGAUGCAUUGGCUUGUKGCCAAUGCAGUGCUGCAGGAAGCGUAAGUUUGCCGCCUGGCAGUACGUACGCAGUAUGAAACUAAG
rnacentral:rRNA from 1 species